UAGAUUUAGCAGUACAUUACUGUAAAAAUCCACAGUACUAUACUGUAUGUGUACAUUACAGUACAGUACUGCAGUUCAUAAUGCAUUCUGGGUAAAUUUGUUUGAGCGGGAAAAUUUUACAGUAUAUUUUGGUCUUGAUGUAACCUUGCUGUAGCCAUUGCUGUAAUGUGCCAGGUGUACUUGCAAUAAUCAGAGAAAGUGCGCCAACGUCAAAUCACACAGACAGAGGGAGAGCACAACUCUUGGCUGCAGCUGAAGGAGGACGAUUGAUUUCUGGCAGUUCGGUAAGUUUGAAAUAUUUCUGUUUCAUGAAAACUUAAUUUUUAGUUUAAGAAUGUUGUCAAUAGUUUGUCACAAUAUUGUUUUAAACGUGCAAUGAGAGAGAAAAACGGUCGCCAACAAAGUUUCAAUCUCCCUCAGAAAGUAAGCUUACACACAGAUGUCUACCGCUGCUUUAACUCGCUUUACACCUUUUUUUUAAUGAAUAUAGGGUUGUUUUAACUAAAUUAUGAGGGUUUUGGUGAGUUUAUAUUGUGUUGAAAGUGUGGUGACAAUGAAACUAUUUUUAACGAAAUGGACAAAGACAACCCGCCAGCGCGGUCUUGCGGUCCCAGCAUAAUGGUCGUUUAUCUCGGCGUUUCAUCCGUUCAGUUAGCGUCAGAGAAAAGUAUUAAGUUCGACUGUUUGGCAAGGCUGACUCGUGGUUGUAAACAGUCAGGACUUGUCACACCGUACACAGCAUACUGUAGUACUGAACUCCUCCACAGAAGUGAAAACAAGAAACCUCAUAACUGGAUACAUGCAUCGAACUCAUCGCAGCUUUAACUUCUACCAAAUAUCAUUCAGACCUGGGCUCAUCUUAAUAUCAGAUGAACGAAAGGGAUUGCCGCGCGUAUUGUUGUUGUUAUUAUAUUACGGUAUAUCAUCAAAAGCAGAGAAUAUCUUCUCUAAAGCGUUUUACACGUCCAGUAAGUUGUCCAAUACAUUUUUAUGGCAUAUUGUUUCCACCACUUCAGAUGCAUUACACGCUGUAUAUAAGUUUCCAAAACACAUCAAAUCAAUGCACGAAAAGAGAAUGGGCUCCGCAUUUACGUACCUUUGUCUUCUCGUCUCUGUCAUCUGAUCCUUCAUCUCUGGAUGUAAAAUACGGUAGUCCAUUAUAACAUCGUGUAGGAAACUGGCAUCACCAGGAUUGCUCAGAUUUAGGCGAUCAUGUUUAUCUUUAAAGUGAGCAGCUAGCUACUUGUUAAAAAACUUUGCGUGACAUAGUGUUACACCGCAGCCGGUCCGGGUAAAACAUUAAAGGGACAGUCUUUUUACCUUAUCACUAUAAAUCGCUAUUUUCUGCACUAAACGAGACAUUUUCAGAGAUUUUCUGUAGACAAGAUGUUAUAAUUAAAAAAAGACUUAUUUAGAUAUUUAUAUAUAAUAUAUAAUAUAACAACUAAUAUAUAUAUAUAUAUUUGUUUUACAACUGACUUAACACUUACAGUAAUGUUUUAUUUGUUAGCAUAGCAUGAUAUUAGAUUUAAACACUUAAUACAUUUUUAAAUCAAUCACUUUGUCUCUGCACAAUGAACAUUAUCAAAUAUUAUUAAUGUUGUAAAAUAUAUUGUUCAUUGUUAGUUCAUAUUAGCUAAGGCAUUACCAAAUGUUAAGGAAUAAACUCUUAUAGUAAAGUGUUACUAAAUUUUCUUUUACCAUUUCCUUCACAAUGUCUAUUUAUUUCUAUGGCUAACAGAUUUUGUAACAUUUGUCUUUUUUACAGUCUUACCAUUGCUUGUAAGCUGGAUUGGGUAAGAUGGAUCAUCUUUAAAGGCACCAGGAGUUAAGGCAGAUGUGGAGGCACAACGGGUGAUACCAGACACACACCAAGCACAUUAUGUUCGGACAUUCAAUCAUGACAUGAUCCAGGUGGAUGCUGUCCAUUGAUGAAAGAGUUUGUUCAGCGGUUUCUGGAUAGAAUUAAUUCCAAAGAUGGGAAAAAGUGCACAUCCAGACAAGGAGCAAGCAAAAAGACAAGGAACUUGGUGCAGAGAAAAGCUGUGGCCAUUAACCCCCAUGUGAACAGCUUCAUGCAGUCGCUGAUUGAGUUCGAAUGGACGACUUCAGUAAAGGCCACUGUGGUCUGUCUGCCACAGUUUAAUUUUUAAUUUAUUUUUAGUGUUCAAUGAAAUUCAAGUAGAAUAUUUAAAACUAUGGGCCAGUGUUGUUUUUACCACGGUGAAAUGUUACCUUUUAGUCGAUGAUGGACUUUAAACUGAAAACUUCAAACUAUGGAACAGUGUUCUAUUUGCCAGAGUUAAAUAUGUUACAGCAGGGGUCUCCAAACUUGUUUAUACUUGUUGAUUUUAUUUUAUGUUACUUGAUUAUAUGUUUAUUAUUGUUUAAAAUCUUGUUUUAAAUAUGUUUGUUUCAAUUAAAUGUUUUUUUUAAUAAAAUUUUGAUACAAACAUUGCUUGGAUUGCCUUUUAAUUCAUUAUGUUUUAAUUUAGCAUUUUUACCAUAUUAAUAACUAUAGAUUUAAACCUAAAUCUCUAGCUAUUUUAUAUAAUAUUAUUGUAUUAACUGUAAUAAGUAAUAAAUAGUAUUUAUGGGUCAAUAUAGACAUUACAGUAAAUUACUGUAAAAAUAGACUACUGUAAUAAAAUAUUGUAAAAUUACAGUACAGUACUGCUUUGUAACUAUACAGUACUAGUUUGUGUACUGUAAAAUGGUAUUACAGUACAGUACUGUAAAACCAAAAUACAGUAACUUACUGGCAACCGUGCUGCCAGUACCGUACUGUAA